UACGAAGGGGGCUAGCGUUGUUCGGAAUUACUGGGCGUAAAGCGUGCGUAGUCGGUAUUGAGAGUCGCGGGUGAAAUCCCAGGGCUUAACCCUGGAACUGCCUGCGAGACCUCAGUACUAGAGUGUGAGAGGGGAUAGUGGAAUACCCAGUGUAGCGGUGAAAUGCGUAGAGAUUGGGUGGAACACCGGUGGCGAAGGCGGCUAUCUGGCUCACAACUGACGAUCAGGCACGAAAGCGUGGGGAGCAAACAGG
rnacentral:rRNA from 1 species